GCCCGGAUGGCGGAACUGGCAGACGCAGGAGGCUUAAAACCUCCCAUUCCUCGGGAUGUGUGGGUUCGAGUCCCACUCCGGGCA
rnacentral:tRNA from 1 species